CAAAACCAAAAAAAAAUUCACUCUCCUGUGAUUUUUUCCCGACAUUAUUUCCAUCUCUCUCUCUUGAUCUCUCUGGACACCUUUGCGACAAAAAUGAGGAGAUUCGAAAUCUGUUCGAUUCCGGUGGAGAUAUCGGUGAAUUUUCUCCAUCGGUUUUGGUUGAUCUUGUGAUCUCGAGAGGAAGAAGUCUCUGAACCGCCUUGUCGUCGAUGAGGCUUCAACGAUGAUAACUCCGUCGUAUCUCUUCACCCUGCAACCAUGGAGAAGCUUCAGCUCUUCCGUGAUGAUACCAUUCUCUUCAAGGUUUGGUUUGCUUUUCUUCGUUUGGAUUCCGAGCUCAACUAUCCGUCGUUUGCAGUCACGAUCAACAGAGGUGGAGGCGGCGCGUACACAUACACGCGUAUCGUAACGAGCGUGGGAGGAGCUGGAACUUACACGGUUAAAGUCAUGUCUGAUGUUAAGGCGGUCAACAUUUCGGUCGAACCGGCGGUUUUGGAUUUCAAUAAUGUCAAUGAGAAGAGAUCGUAUUCGGUUAUCUUCACCGUGAAUCCAUCAAUGCCUUCUGGAACCAACAGCUUUGGUAGCAUUGAGUGGUCGGAUGGUAAACACUUGGUUCGAAGCCCCGUGGCUCUAACCUGGACUUAAUAUUUAGUGGUAAAGAAACUUGAGGGACUAAUGAAAGAAGGUGUAACAGAUAUUGUAAUGCCCUCUAUUAAGUGUUUUAAAUUUUAAGCUUUGAAAUAAUUUUGUCGCUGUUAAUCACUAUUUGUUUCAAACAGUAGAAUACUAGAAUGGUUGGAAACUUCAAAUUGAUGAAAAAGAAGUUUAAUGAACUGGUUGCUCUGUUCCGGAUAGGAAGAUUUGGAGACUUUGGUGAUUUAUUUCUGUCCAUUGAGGGUUGUUGUUGCCAUGCUAGGAGAAAGAUGAUCUUCUGGUGAGUUUUAAUUGGCAACCGCAGCUGUAAUGAAAUCUAAAGAAUAGGUGACUCUUUGUUUCCAUAUCAGAGUUACAGAGGUUUGCAAUCCCAAAUUCGAGACUCUUGUCUUUGGUCAGGCACCGGUUCAGAACAUUUCCAACAACUGCCUUAAGUCCAUGGGUACCAUGUAGCACAGAUUGAGUUUGGCAUGAAGAUAAAAGUAUCCUGAUCAACUUCAGAGUGUUCCAUAGGAAUUCACUGCACAAUGAAUUUAUUUGUUUUAUGCCCAACGGAGAGAGUGUUUGGGCAUGAAUCGUAAAUAAGAUAAGAAAAUAUUAAUGGGCUCAAUCAAGUCUCAUAAGGCCCAAUCUCUCAACGUACCAAACCAACAAAUUAGAAUCUUUUUUUUUUUUUUUUCUUUUUCUUUUCUUGCAAAAUAUGCAAUCUUUUCGUUGGGCGAAUGAUUGUUUUAUAUUUUUUUGUAGCAUUGAGAUUACGAUUUGGGAAAUUUAUGUUUGAU